AAUAAAGGAUGUUCGCCUAAAGACCUCGCUUCCUGCGAAAACGGUUAACUGACCUACAUCGUGCAGG
rnacentral:sRNA from 1 species